rnacentral:rRNA from 1 species
AUUGAACGCUGGCGGCAUGCUUUACACAUGCAAGUCGAACGGUAACAGGCCGCAAGGUGCUGACGAGUGGCGAACGGGUGAGUAAUGCAUCGGAACGUGCCCAGUCGUGGGGGAUAACGCAGCGAAAGCUGCGCUAAUACCGCAUACGAUCUCUGGAUGAAAGCGGGGGACCGAAAGGCCUCGCGCGAUUGGAGCGGCCGAUGUCAGAUUAGGUAGUUGGUGGGGUAAAGGCCCACCAAGCCAACGAUCUGUAGCUGGUCUGAGAGGACGACCAGCCACUGGGACUGAGACACGGCCCAGACUCCUACGGGAGGCAGCAGUGGGGAAUUUUGGACAAUGGGCGCAAGCCUGAUCCAGCAAUGCCGCGUGCAGGAAGAAGGCCUUCGGGUUGUAAACUGCUUUUGUACGGAACGAAACGGUCCGGGUUAAUACCCUGGGCUAAUGACGGUACCGUAAGAAUAAGCACCGGCUAACUACGUGCCAGCCGCCGCGGUAA